rnacentral:rRNA from 1 species
CGCGCGGGCGGUAGCAAUACCGUUAGCGGCGGACGGGUGAGGAACACAUAGGAAUUUGCCUUUAGGUGGGGGAUAGCCCAGGGAAACUUGGAGUAAUACCGCAUGAUGUCGCAAGACCAAAGCAGGGGAUCGCAAGACCUUGCGCCUUUAGAGGAGCCUAUGUCUGAUUAGCUAGUUGGUAGGGUAAUGGCCUACCAAGGCGACGAUCAGUAACUGGUCUGAGAGGACGAUCAGUCACACUGGAACUGAGACACGGUCCAGACUCCUACGGGAGGCAGCAGUGGGGAAUAUUGGACAAUGGGCGCAAGCCUGAUCCAGCAAUGCCGCGUGUGUGAAGAAGGCCUUCGGGUUGUAAAGCACUUUAGGCCGGGAAGAAAAAAUCAGGGCUAAUAUCCUUGAUCUUGACGGUACCGGAAGAAUAAGCACCGGCUAACUCUGUGCCAGCAGCCGCGGUAAUACAGAGGGUGCGAGCGUUAAUCGGAUUUACUGGGCGUAAAGCGUGUGUAGGUGGUUGUUCAAGUCGGUUGUGAAAUCCCUGGGCUUAACCUGGGAACUGCUUCCGAGACUGAGCGACUAGAGUACGGUAGAGGGCGGUGGAAUUUCCGGUGUAGCGGUGAGAUGCGUAGAUAUCGGAAGGAACACCAAUGGGCGAAGGCAGCCGCCUGGGCCUGUACUGAACACUGAGACACGAAAG